AAAGCAAACAACGUACUAAUAAGACUCGAGAAAAUUCUUAAUCUUUUAAUUAGAAUUAGAAUGCAUGCCCCUGAUUACUCAUGGCCCAAGAACUUAAUUAGAAUUAUAGCAUAAAGCAAACUUAUAUUGCAGCCCAAACUCCUUUAGGAAAAUAAUCCCAUUUAUUCUCUUCUCUAGGCUCAAAUUCGCUUAAAUUGGAGCAGCCCAUUUUCGAUCCAAACAAUUAAAGAGUGGUCCAACUUAUUAAGUUCCAUUCAAAUUCUUGAAUAAAAUAAAAUCAGUCCACUCCUUAAUUAAUUCAUUCAGCCCCAAAUUUAUCACAGUAAAAACACUUGGCCCAAUUCGGAAGCCCAAUCUAAUUGUUGGUGGCCCAAUGAUUUACAUAAUCUUUCUCCUUACUACCAUCGUAUCCUCCACUCUCUUUCUUCUCAACUUUAAAUCAAAAUCCCCUAAAUUCAAGACUAAAUUUAUGUUGCCCCGAACUACAAUCCCAAUCCAAAUUGACACCACCUGCACAGUGCUCGCUGUCCUCCACCGCCUCCUCCGGCGGUCUUUCUCCUCCUGCGCAUCGCCGCCGCCAAACAUGCACAGGCGCCGGUCUUUGCUGCUGCUGCCUCCCGUCCUUUCACGGCGACUCAGUGUCGUCGCUGACGUAUCCGACCGAGGCAGACGCUGCUCAGUCUGCUUCGCAGACCAGCGCCGCCGCCGCCUCCGCUGCCCGUCGGGGUCCCCGCGGCUGCCCUCGUGGUCUCGCCGUCGCCGGUGGUCUCGAGGCAGCCCCUCGGCCUUAAAGCUAAGUUCUUUUACUCCCUUUCAUUAUUUAGUAUUUUGUUGAGAAUUUGGGCAGUAGCUAUGUAGAGUUGGAGGUCUUGAAAAUUACUACUGUGUUACUGGAAUGUGUUCAUUAUAUUGGGAACUUCAACUGCUACUUGUUCUAAGAGUUGCUAUUGUCAUGAAAUUUCUACAGCCAUGAUUCUAUCUUCAAAAAUAUGCAUAUGCUUGUACGUAAAUGUAAAGGAAAAGAAGGGUUCGGGAUUCACCUUUUUGAUGUGGAAUAAAGGGUUGGUGGAUUGCAGUGCUUGACCCUACAAUUGUGUGCAAAUCCCUCUCCUUGGACUCCUCUAUCCUACGUUGGGUUGGUGUGUGGUGUGUGCAGUGAAUUUAGGAUUUGUGAUGGUGAUGAGGGUGGGUGACAAAAAGAUUUAUAUAUAUAUAUAUAUAAUAUAUAUAUAUAAAGAUGCAAGUGGGGAUAUUUUCUAUGCAAGUGGGGCUUAUCUUUCAAAUAUUUUCUAUGCAAGUGGGGCUUAUCUUUCAAAUAUUUUCUGUCAGGGAUAUGAUUUCUUCCUGCCCAUAUUAAAUGCAGCAUUAAAUGUUGCUGAUAACACUCAUUCGAUUCUCUCAGGAUAUGCUUUUUAUUUUUAAUUUAUUUUAUUCUUCUUUCUUUUUUUUAUAGUUGUUUAUUAAAUUUUAUUAUUUGUAUAUUUAUUUACUUAUUUAUUUAAUUUGGUAUAGGAAAAACCCAGUUUAAGCUUGUGGCUUUGGUGUAGGAAAACAAAUUACAUCCAUAGUCUUCCCUGAUGAUGUACCAGACUUUCUUGGAGUGCAAGCACGACCGUUGAACGGGCUGCGUGAACUUUCCUAUAAUUGUAAUAGAUAAGGAUUCGAUGUUACUUUUUUUUACUUGAAAUAUUCGUUCGAGAAUGAAGCAACGAUUAUUUAUAAUUCCAAGAUCAAUUAUUAUACAUGAAAAUGGCAGAUUUUGAAUA